UUUGUUUACUAUUGGUGUGACAACACUAUCAUUUUUGUUUACUAUUGGUGUGAAAACAGAGCUCUGAACAUAGCUACAGAGAGGUGUGGAGCUGUCUUGUCUGAUGAAAAAGUAUUACAACGUGAAAAAGUACUACUAGAUUUGAAGAAAGGGUCUAUGUGCUGCUUGAAGGAAGAAGAAGCUUCGCAGCUGCUACUUUUUUUUUAUUUAGAAGUCCUUGUGAGAUAUGGUGUUGGUGAAAGAAGUUAAUGAGAUGUGGUUCAUCUCAGAUUGAUGAACAUGGAGAGCUUAAUUUAACUAAUUGUUGUCUUUCUAGUUAUUGCUCUAUUUAAGAUUUUGGUAGGCUAAUCAAUGACAAAUCUAAAAUACAUUCUUUUUGGAAGGCUAAGCAGAAGGUACAUUUUUCAAAUAGUUUAGCUUCCAGGUUUGUUUUAUUAACAAUGUUUAGCUCAAUUGUUUGUUGAUAACAGUAGUCCUUGUUACUAAAUAAUAAAUACCUUCCUUUAACCUGUUCAGUUAUAUUCAAGUGGUUUUGCUGUACAGUUCAGAUGUCUAUAGGAGUAUGAACUUAAGUUGGCAUAUUUCCCAAUUUUUUUGGAUCCGGAACCCUUGUUCAAACUGGUAACUCAGACUAAGUACUUAUCCAAUGUUGCAGGCUUCGCAGGGCAGCAGAUAGAGCUUAGUCCAGGCUGCAUGGGCACUCAAGUCCUGAAGCUGAAGAUACUACUGUUACCUUAUCAGUUUGUCGUUUGUUUCACCGUUGCCUCAGUGACAUGUGGCGCUGGCAGCUUAUCGUUUGCUCCACCAUUCCAUUCAUCAUUUUUCUGAUUAACAUGUCAUAGAGUUAAAUGUUGGACAAAUGGCACUUGGCUUAUUCUCACACAAUUCUGGGCAAGCUUUUCUGAUGACCCAUUUGCUAAUUUGAACAAAUUGCAGUUCUGCUUAAAUAUAUUUCAGUGUCUUGUCAGUGUUCAGAAGAGAUAUAGCCGAACUGCUAAAUAUAUUUCAUCCA